rnacentral:sRNA from 1 species
GCCGGGCGCAGUGGAGCAUGCCUAUAAUCCCAGCAACUCAGGAGGCUGAGGCAGGAGGAUCACGAGUUCAAAGCCAGCUUCAGCAAAAGCAAGGUGCUAAGCAACUCAGUGAGACCCUGUCUCUA